rnacentral:lncRNA from 1 species
AUAUCUCCCCUGCCCCUCGCGUUCUCCCUCUGGAAACCCUCAGCGCCGUCGUCCCGCCGCCACGCCCGGCCCCCUCGGUCGCCGGCCGGAUUCUCUCCAUCGACUCCAGAUCCGGCCGUCCCAGCUAGUUCCUCACCGAUUCCCGUCCUCACAGCCACGAGUACCGCCGUCAGCGAGGAACAGCGCCGUGGGGGAAGGAGGAGCUCACCCCCACACCAUUGAUGCCAGCAAGGAGCAGCGCCGGUGGGGGAAGGAGGAGCUCAGCGAGGAGCAAUGCUGGUGAGCAAGGAGGAGCAUCCCGACGACCAAGCCCGUCGCCCAAAGCGCAAUGUGAGCUCCUCUGUCUUCUUUCCUAUGGUGUACUGUACGUACUGUUAAUGUGAGUGCAAAAAGAUUCAGAUAUGUGUGCAGCUUCGAAGUUCAGAUAUUACAUGAGGCGGCAUUGUUGCUGUUAUUACAUGCUGAAAAUUUUCAGCUGCUGUAGUUGUCGUUAUUGCACGCUGAAUUCCUGCUGAAUAGUUAAGGGGCACUGCUAAGGAUAGACUACUGAUCCUAGUAGUAUAUCAGACCAGAUAAUUUUCUUCGAUCAGAAUUGUUUCUUUUUAACAUAACAAAAAUAUGUGUCCUUCCAUGUAACAUAAUUUUGCAUCUAAGAAUUUGUUUCCAUAUCAAAACUUCGAGUCCUACAUAUAUUUUCUAUCAAGUUUCCAACACUAGAAAAUUUUGCUUUCAUCCAAUGUUAUGUGACAGCACAAUGAAGGCAGCAGCGCCGUGCAGCCGGUGGCAAGGUGUUGUAGAGGAGCACGCGGAGCCAAGGUUGGGGGCACACGCUGAGGAGGACCGCAACGUUGCCGCUGUAUAGACAUGAACUAGCUACCGCAAUGUUCAUGUCUUUAGAUGUGAGACCAUUUUGAUUUGCAAACUUAUGCAAAUGAAACUCGUUUACUACAGAAACUUUUGUUGUAUGACAUAUAACAAAACUAGUUAUUCGUCAUUAUUAUGACUUGUCUUAACUUGAAAUAUUUGUGGCAUGUUCAAAAAUA